rnacentral:rRNA from 1 species
CAGGAUAGCUUGAACGCCGACGGUUUUGUCAGGUAAAGCGAAUGAUUAGAGGCCUUGGGGCUGAAACAGCCUUAACCUAUUCUCAAACUUUAAAUGGGCAAGAGGCGCCGGAUGCUUAACUGAUCCGGCGCGGUGAACGGCGCGUUCAAAGUGGGCCAUUUUUGGUAAGCAGAACUGGCGAUGCGGGAUGAACCGAACGCGACGCUAAGGUACCCAAGUGUCCGCUCAUCAGAGACCACAAAAGGCGUUGGUACCUCCAGACAGCAGGACGGUGGCCAUGGAAGUCGGAACCCGCUAAGGAGUGUGUAACAACUCACCUGCCGAAGGUACUAGCCCUGAAAAUGGAUGGCGCUCAAGCGGACCACCGAGGCGUUGCCGCCGGCGCGAGCGCGAGGCGUCCGGCGAGUAGGAGGGCGCGCAGUGGGCGACGCAGCUUGAGGCGUGAGCCUGAGUGAAGCCGACUGUGGUGCAGAUCUUGGUGGCAGUAGCAAAUAUUCAAGUGAGAACCUUGAAGACUGAAGUGGGGAAGGGUUCCAUGGUAACAGCAGUUGGACAUGGGUCAGUCGGUCCUAAGAGAUAGGGGAAUUCCGUUUCAAAGUGUG